UAAACUGACGCCUGGUGGUUUGGGUAAAUAGCUGUUAACUAUUUUUUGUGGGAUCAAGGCCCACCGGUUUUA
rnacentral:tRNA from 1 species